rnacentral:RNase_P_RNA from 1 species
GAAGCAGAUCACCUUAUCGCUUUCCGCAAUAGCGGGAGGAGGAAAGUCCGGACACCUUAGUGCGGCAUAGCGGGUAACACCCGUCGUCCUGCGAAAGCAGGAUAGGACAAGUGCAACAGAAAGUAUGUACAGGUUAAGCUGUAGUGAAACCAGGUAAACUCUAUGCGGUGAAACGCCAUGUAUAUCAGCGAUUGAGGGCUGCACGUCCGAGCUGAAGGGUAGGCGGCUAGAAUGUUUGGGUAACCAAACAUCCAGAUAAAUGAUAAGGGCCCUUAGGGGAACAGAAUCCGGCUUAUGAUCUGCUUUUUAU